UAGGGAAUCUUCGGCAAUGGACGAAAGUCUGACCGAGCAACGCCGCGUGAGUGAAGAAGGUUUUCGGAUCGUAAAACUCUGUUGUUAGAGAAGAACAAGGACGUUAGUAACUGAACGUCCCCUGACGGUAUCUAACCAGAAAGCCACGGCUAACUACGUGCCAGCAGCCGCGGUAAUACGUAGGUGGCAAGCGUUGUCCGGAUUUAUUGGGCGUAAAGCGAGCGCAGGCGGUUUCUUAAGUCUGAUGUGAAAGCCCCCGGCUCAACCGGGGAGGGUCAUUGGAAACUGGGAGACUUGAGUGCAGAAGAGGAGAGUGGAAUACCAUGUGUAGCGGUGAAAUGCGUAGAUAUAUGGAGGAAAACCAGUGGCGAAGGCGGCUCUCUGGUCUGUAACUGACGCUGAGGCUCGAAAGCGUGGGGAGCAAACAGG
rnacentral:rRNA from 1 species